rnacentral:lncRNA from 1 species
UGGAAGGCUCUAGGGGAAUAAAGAUGGAAUGACUUCUAAUUUUUAGGUCCGUAUGAUUUGAAAUACUUUCACACAAACCGCGCGAAAGCGUUCCUGGAAAUCUCAGCCCCAAAAAGGACGUUUAGUAAUUCUAGAAGGGACUAUAGGAUGAAAAACAAUAGUUUUGGUAGUUAAAGUUUGAGAUUCGAUGGUGCCGUGGAUCCGUUUGGUCAUCAGGUGUUACGAGCCACACCCAUGUCUAGCUAGAAUAGUAUGUUAGGCUCAGGUUAGAGAAGAAACGGGGAACAAACUGAUGAAAAAAUGAUCAUACCAAGGGAAUUCACUCAGAACUAACAAGAAUGAUAACGUGCUCCGACUGGAGCGGUUUAGGAACUGCUGGAAGGCUCUAGGGGAAUAAAGAUGGAAUGACUUCUAAUUUUUACGUCCGUAUGAUUUGAAAUACUUGCACACAAACCACGCAAAAGCGUUCCUGGAAAUCUCAGCCUAAAAAAGGACGUUUAGUAAUUCUAAAAGGGACUACAGGAUGAAAAAUAAUAGUUUGGGCAGUUAAAAUUUGAGAUUCAACGGUGCCGUAGAUCCGUUUGGUCAUGAGGUGUUACGAGCCACACCCAUGUCUAGCUAGAAUAGUGUGUUAGGCUCAGGCUAGAGAAGAAACGGGGAACAAAUUGAUGAAAGAAUGAUCAUACCGAGGGAAUUCACUCAGAACUAACAAGAAUGAUAACGUGCUCCGACUGGAGCAGUUUGGAAACUGUUGGUAGGCUCUAGGGGAAUAAAGAUGGAAUCACUUCAAAUUUUUAGGUCCGUAUGAUUUGAAAUACUGGCACACAAACCGCGCGAAAGUGUUCCUGGAAAUCUCAGCCCAAAAAAGGACGUUUAGUAAUUCUAAAAGGGACUACAGGAUGAAAAACAAUACUUUUGGCAGUUAAAGUUUGAGAUUCGACGGUGCCGUAGAUCUGUUUGGUCAUCAGGUGUAACGAGCCACACCCAUGUCUAGCUAGAGUAGUGUGCUAGGCUCAGACUAGAGAAGAAACGGGGAACAAAGUGAUGAAAGAAUGAUCAUACCGAGGGAAUUCACUCAGAACUAACAAGAAUGAUAACGUGCUCCGACUGGAGCGGUUUAGGAACUGCUGGAAGGCUCUAGGGAAAUAAAGAUGGAAUGACUUCUAAUUUUUAGGUCCAUAUCAUUUGAAAUACGUGCACACAAACCCCGAGAAAGCGUUCCUGGAAAUCUCGGCCGAAAAAAGGAUGUUUAAUAAUUCUAAAAGGGACUACAGGAUGAAAAACAAUAGUUUUGGCAGUUAAAGUUUGAGAUUUGACGGUGCCGUAGAUCUGUUUGGUCAUCAGGGGUUACGAGCCACACCCAUGUCUAGCUAGAAUAGUGUGUUAGGCUCAGGCUAGAGAAGAAACGGGGAACAAAUUGAUGAAAGAAUGAUCAUACCGAGGGAAUUCACUCAGAACUAACAAGAAUGAUAACGUGCUCCGACUGGAGCAGUUUGGAAACUGUUGGUAGGCUCUAGGGGAAUAAAGAUGGAAUCACUUCUAAUUUUUAGGUCCGUAUGAUUUGAAAUACAUGCACACAAACCCCAAGAAAGCGUUCCUGGAAAUCUCGCCCCGAAAAACGACGUUUAGUAAUUCUAAAAGGGACUACAGGAUGAAAAACAAUACUUUUGGCAGUUAAAGUUUGAGAUUCGACGGUGCCGUAGAUCUGUUUGGUCAUCAGGUGUAACGAGCCACACCCAUGUCUAGCUAGAGUAGUGUGCUAGGCUCAGACUAGAGAAGAAACGGGGAACAAAGUGAUGAAAGAAUGAUCAUACCGAGGGAAUUCACUCAGAACUAACAAGAAUGAUAACAUGCUCCGACUGGAGCGGUUUAGGAAGUGCUGGAAGGCUCUAGGGAAAUAAAGAUGGAAUGACUUCUAAUUUUUAGGUCCAUAUCAUUUGAAAUACGUGCACACAAACCCCGAGAAAGCGUUCCUGGAAAUCUCGGCCGAAAAAAGGAUGUUUAAUAAUUCUAAAAGGGACUACAGGAUGAAAAACAAUAGUUUUGGCAGUUAAAGUUUGUGAUUCGAUGGUGCCGUAGAUCUGUUUGGUCAUCAGGUGUUACGAGCCACACCCAUGUCUAGCUAGAACAGUGUGUUAGGCUCAGGCUAGAGCAGAAACGGGGAACAAACUUAUGAAAGAAUGAUCAUACCGAGGGAAUUCACUCAGAACUAACAAGAAUGAUAACGUGCUCCAACUGGAGCGGUUUAGGAACUGCUGGAAGGCUCUAGGGGAAUAAAGAUGGAAUGACUUCAAAUUUUUAGGUCCGUAUGAUUUGAAAUACUUGCACACAAACCGCUAGAAAGCGUUCCUGGAAAUCUCAGCCCAAAAAAGGACGUUUAGUAAUUCUAAAAGGGACUACAGGAUGAAAAACAAUAGUUCUGGCAGUUAAAGUUUGAGCUUCGAUAAUGUCGUAGAUCCGUUUGGUCAUCAGGUGUAACGAGCCACACCCAUUUCUAGCUAGAGUAGUGUGCUAGGCUCAGACUAGAGAAGAAAUGGGCAACAAACUAAUGAAAGAAUGAUCAUACCGAGGGAAUUCACUCAGAACUAACAAGAAUGAUAACGUGCUCCGACUGGAGCGGUUUAGGAACUGCUGGAAGGCUCUAGGGGAAUAAAGAAGGAAUGACUUCUAAUUUUUAGGUCCGUAUGAUUUGAAAUGUGUGCACACAAACCCCGAGAAAGCAUUCCUGGAAAUCUCGGCCCAAAAAAGGACGUUUAGUAAUUCUAAAAGGGACUACAGGAUGAAAAACAAUAGUUUUGGCAGUUAAAGUUUGAGAUUCGAUAAUGCCGUAGAUCCGUUUGGUCAUCAGGUGUAACGAGCCACACCCAUGUCUGGUUAGAGUAGUGUGCUAGGCUCAGACUAGAUAAGAAACGGGGAACAAACUGAUGAAAGAAUGAUCAUACCGAGCGAAUUCACUCAGAACUAACAAGAAUGAUAACAUGCUCCGACUGGAGCGGUUUAGGAACUGCUGGAAGGCUCUAGGGGAAUAAAGAUGGAAUGACUUCUAAUUUUUAGGUCCGUAUGAUUUGAAAUACUUGCACACAAACCACGCGAAAGCGUUCCUGGAAAUCUCAGCCCAAAAAAGGACGUUUAGUAAUUCUAAAAGGGACUACAGGAUGAAAAACAAUAGUUUUGGCAGUUAAAGUUUGAGAUUCGACAGUGCCGUAGAUCCGUUUGGUCAUCAGGUAUUACGAGCCACACCCAUGUCUAGCUAGAAUAGUGUGCUAGGCUCAGGCUAGAGAAGAAACGGGGAACAAACUGAUGAAAGAAUGAUCAAACCGAGGGAAUUCACUCAGAACUAACAAUAAUGAUAACGUGCUCCGACUGGUGCGGUUUAGGAACUGCUGGAAGGCUCUAGGGGAAUAAAGAUGGAAUGACUUCUAAUUUUUAGGUCCGUAUGAUUUGAAAUACUUGCACACAAACCGCGCGAAAGCGUUCCUGGAAAUCUCAGCCCAAAAAAGGACGUUUAGUAAUUUUAAAAGGGACUAUAGGAUGAAAAACAAUAGUUUUGGCAAUUAAAGUUUGAGAUUCGACGGUGUCGUAGAUCCGUUUGGUCAUCAGGUGUUACGAGCCACACCCAUGUCUAGCUAGAAUAGUAUGUCAGGCUCAGGUUAGAGUAGAAACGGGGAACAAACUGAUGAAAGAAUGAUCAUACCAAGGGAAUUCACUCAGAACUAUCAAGAAUGAUAACGUGCUCCGACUGGAGUGAUUUAGGAACUGCUGGAAGGCUCUAGGGGAAUAAAGAUGGAAUGACUUCUAAUUUUUACGUCCGUAUGAUUUGAAAUACUUGCACACAAAUCACGCAAAAGCGUUCCUGGAAAUCUCAGCCUAAAAAAGGACGUUUAGUAAUUCUAAAAGGGACUACAGGAUGAAAAACAAUAGUUUGGGCAGUUAAAAUUUGAGAUUCGACGGUGCCGUAGAUCCGUUUGGUCAUCAGGUGUUACGAGCGACACCCUUGUCUAGCUAGAAUAGUGUGUUAGGCUCAGACUAGAGAAGAAACGGGGAACAAAGUGAUGAAAGAAUGAUCAUACCGAGGGAAUUCACUCAGAACUAACAAGAAUGAUAACGUGCUCCGACUGGAGCGGUUUAGUAACUGCUGGAAGGCUCUAGGGGAAUGAAGAUGGAAUGACUUCUAAUUUUUAGGUCCGUAUGAUUUGAAAUACAUGCACACAAACCCUGAGAAAGCGUUCCUGGAAAUCUCGGUCGAAAAAAGGAUGUUUAAUAAUUCUAAAAGGGACUACCGGAUGAAAAACAAUAGUUUUGGCAGUUAAAGUUUGUGAUUCGAUGGUGCCGUAGAUCUGUUUGGUCAUCAGGUGUUACGAGCCACACCCAUGUCUAUCUAGAAUAGUGUGUUAGGCUCAGGCUAGAGCAGAAACGGGGAACAGACUUAUGAAAGAAUGAUCAUACCGAGGGAAUUCACUCAGAACUAACAAGAAUGAUAACGUGCUCCGACUGGCGCGGUUUAGGAACUGCUGGAAGGCUCUAGGGGAAUAAAGAUGGAAAGACUUCUAAUUUUUAGGUCCGUAUGAUUUGAAAUACUUGCACACAAACCGCACGAAAGCGUUCCUGGAAAUCUCAGCCUAAAAAGGAUGUUUAGUAAUUCUAAAAGGGACUACAAGAUGAAAAAUAAUAGUUUGGGCAGUUAAAAUUUGAGAUUCGACGAUGCCGUAGAUCCGUUUGGUCAUCAGGUGUUAUGAGCCACACCCAUGUCUAGCUAGAAUAGUGUGUUAGGCUCAGGCUAGAGAAGAAACGGGGAACAAACUGAUGAAAGAAUGAUCAUACCGAGGGAAUUCACUCAGAACUAACAAGAAUGAUAACGUGCUCCGACUGGAGCAGUUUAGAAACUGCUGGAAGGCUCUAAUGGAAUAAAGAUGGAAUGCCUUCAAAUUUCUAGGUCCGUAUGAUUUGAAAUACUUGCACACAAACCGCUCGAAAGCGUUCCUGGAAAUCUCAGCCCAAAAAAGGACGUUUAGUAAUUCUAAAAGGGACUACAGGAUGAAAAACAAUAGUUUUGGCAGUUAAAGUUUGAGAUUCGAUGGUGCCGUAGAUCCGUUUGGUCAUCAGGUGUAACGAGCCACACACAUGUCUAGCUAGAGUAGUGUGCUAGGCUCAGACUAGAGAAGAAACGGGGAACAAAGUGAUGAAAGAAUGAUCAUACCGAGGGAAUUCACUCAGAACUUACAAGAAUGAUAACGUGCUCCGACUGGAGCGCUUUAGUAACUGCUGGAAGGCUCUAGGCGAAUAAAGAUGGAAUGACUUCUAAUUUUUAGGUCCGUAUGAUUUGAAAUACUUGCACACAAACCACGCAAAACCGUUCCUAGAAAUCUCGGUCGAAAAAAGGACGUUUAGUAAUUCUAAAAGGGACUACAGGAUGAAAAACAAUAGUUUUGGCAGUUAAAGUUUGAGAUUCGAUGGUGCCGUAGAUCCGUUUGGUCAUCAGGUGUUACGAGCCACACCCAUGUCUAGCUAGAGUAGUGUGCUAGGUUCAGACUAGAGAAGAAACGGGGAACAAAGUGAUUAAAGAAUGAUCAUACCGAGGGAAUUCACUCAGAACUAACAAGAAUGAUAACGUGCUCCGACUGGAGCGGUUUAGGAACUGCUGGAAGGCUCUAGGGGAAUAAAGAUGGAAUGACUUCUAAUUUUUACGUCCGUAUGAUUUGAAAUACAUGCACACAAACCACGCAAAAGCGUUCCUGGAAAUCUCAGCCUAAAAAAGGACGUUUAGUAAUUCUAAAAGGGACUACAGGAUGAAAAAUAAUAGUUUGGGCAGUUAAAAUUUGAGAUUCGACGCUGCCGUAGAUCCGUUUGGUCAUCAGGUCUUACGAGCCACACCCAUGUCUAGCUAGAAUAGUGUGUUAGGCUCAGGCUAGAGAAGAAACGGGGAACAA